rnacentral:rRNA from 1 species
CCUACGGGGGGCAGCAGUGAGGAAUAUUGGUCAAUGGGCGAGAGCCUGAACCAGCCAAGUCGCGUGAGGGAGGACGGUCCUACGGGUUGUAAACUUCUUUUGCCGGGGGACAAAAGCAGGCACGCGUGCCGUCCUGAGGGUACUCGGAGAAAAAGCAUCGGCUAACUCCGUGCCAGCAGCCGCGGUAAUACGGAGGAUGCGAGCGUUAUCCGGAUUUAUUGGGUUUAAAGGGUGCGUAGGCGGGAUGCCAAGUCAGCGGUAAAAGACGGGGGCUCAACCCGCGCUCGCCGUUGAAACUGGCGUUCUUGAGAGGGCGAGAGGUACGCGGAAUGCGUGGUGUAGCGGUGAAAUGCAUAGAUAUCGCGCAGAACCCCGAUUGCGAAGGCAGCGUACCGGCGCCGAACUGACGCUGAGGCACGAAAGCGUGGGUAUCGAACAGGAUUAGAUACCCGAGUAGUC